CGAAGUUAUUGUUUCUGCUUCCGAUGAUGAAUGGUUCUUCAGCAAAGCUGGUGGCAAUUACAACAAUACUGUUGCUUCUGAUGGGGGAUUUACAAGCAACUUGUGGACUACUUCCUCAUGGUAUAACUAAUAAUUAUCUUCCUUUUGUUAGAUCUCCAAGCAUUAGCAUUAGCUACGUAAAUCGACUUAGUUUUUACCAAUUUUAUUAUUUGGGAACUAAUUUCUUGCUCCUUGUGUUUUUCUCAUAUAAUUGAACAAGGUUGCUUUGAAUGUCAAAGUGAUAUUUUGAGCACGAAAGUGCCCGUUCGCCGCAUCCUAAGAUCAUACGGUGGGCCGCAGCCACCUGCACCUGAUAGGAAUGUAAUACACACUCCGUACGAUCAGACUUGAUGCCCCCCUACCCCCAUCCCGCGGCCCCCUCCGUCCUUCUUUUCUUGUAUUUUUAUUUGUUUUUUUAAUAAAAGUUU
rnacentral:lncRNA from 1 species